GCAUGCCUACAACAUAGCGCUAAUGCACCAGAUUCCAUUAUAAAUCUACAGUUAAGCACACCCGGGCUAGAGUAUUACUAGGAUGGGUGACCAGUGGGGAAGUCUUAGUGUUUUACAUGCC
rnacentral:rRNA from 1 species